AUACAGGCUAGCGGCGGACGGGUGAGUAACACGUGGGUAACCUGCCCAAGAGAUCGGGAUAACACCUGGAAACAGAUGCUAAUACCGGAUAACAACAGAUGAUGCCUAUCAACUGUUUAAAAGAUGGUUCUGCUAUCACUCUUGGAUGGACCUGCGAUGCAUUAGCUAGUUGGUAAGGUAACGGCUUACCAAGGCGAUGAUGCAUAGCCGAGUUGAGAGACUGAUCGGCCACAUUGGGACUGAGACACGGCCCAAACUCCUACGGGAGGCAGCAGUAGGGAAUCUUCCACAAUGGACGAAAGUCUGAUGGAGCAACGCCGCGUGAGUGAAGAAGGUUUUCGGAUCGUAAAGCUCUGUUGUUGGUGAAGAAGGAUAGAGGUAGUAACUGGCCUUUAUUUGACGGUAAUCAACCAGAAAGUCACGGCUAACUACGUGCCAGCAGCCGCGGUAAUACGUAGGUGGCAAGCGUUGUCCGGAUUUAUUGGGCGUAAAGCGAGCGCAGGCGGAUUGAUAAGUCUGAUGUGAAAGCCUUCGGCUCAACCGAAGAACUGCAUCAGAAACUGUCAAUCUUGAGUGCAGAAGAGGAGAGUGGAACUCCAUGUGUAGCGGUGGAAUGCGUAGAUAUAUGGAAGAACACCAGUGGCGAAGGCGGCUCUCUGGUCUGUAACUGACGCUGAGGCUCGAAAGCAUGGGUAGCGAACAGGAUUAGAUACCCUGGUAGUCCAUGCCGUAAACGAUGAGUGCUAAGUGUUGGGAGGUUUCCGCCUCUCAGUGCUGCAGCUAACGCAUUAAGCACUCCGCCUGGGGAGUACGA
rnacentral:rRNA from 1 species